rnacentral:rRNA from 1 species
CCUACGGGAGGCAGCAGUGAGGAAUAUUGGUCAAUGGGCGCUAGCCUGAACCAGCCAAGUAGCGUGAAGGAUGACUGCCCUAUGGGUUGUAAACUUCUUUUAUAUGGGAAUAAAGUGCAGUAUGUAUACUGCUUUGCAUGUACCUUAUGAAUAAGGAUCGGCAAACUCCGUGCCAGCAGCCGCGGUAAUACGGAGGAUUCGAGCGUUAUCCGGAUAUAUUGGGUUUAAAGGGAGCGUAGGCGGGUUGUUAAGUCAGUUGGGAAAGUUUGCGGCUCAACCGUAAGAUUGCAGUUGAUACUGGCAUCCUUGAGUACAGUAGAGGUAGGCGGAAUUCGUGGUGUAGCGGUGAAAUGCUUAGAUAUCUCGAAGAACACCGAUGGCGAAGGCAGCUUGCUGGACUGUAACUGACGCUGAGGCACGAAAGUGUGGGUAGCAAACAGGAUUAGAUACCCCUGUAGUC